rnacentral:rRNA from 1 species
GCCCAGCUUGCUGGGCGGAUUAGUGGCGAACGGGUGAGUAAUACGUGAGUAACCUGCCCUUGACUCUGGGAUAAGCCUGGGAAACUGGGUCUAAUACUGGAUACUACCUCUUGCCGCAUGGUGGGUGGUGGAAAGGGUUUUACUGGUUUUGGAUGGGCUCACGGCCUAUCAGCUUGUUGGUGGGGUAAUGGCUCACCAAGGCGACGACGGGUAGCCGGCCUGAGAGGGUGACCGGCCACACUGGGACUGAGACACGGCCCAGACUCCUACGGGAGGCAGCAGUGGGGAAUAUUGCACAAUGGGCGGAAGCCUGAUGCAGCGACGCCGCGUGAGGGAUGACGGCCUUCGGGUUGUAAACCUCUUUCAGUAGGGAAGAAGCGAGAGUGACGGUACCUGCAGAAGAAGCGCCGGCUAACUACGUGCCAGCAGCCGCGGUAAUACGUAGGGCGCAAGCGUUGUCCGGAAUUAUUGGGCGUAAAGAGCUCGUAGGCGGUUUGUCGCGUCUGCUGUGAAAGCCCGGGGCUCAACCCCGGGUCUGCAGUGGGU